UACGUAGGGCGCAAGCGUUGUCCGGAAUUAUUGGGCGUAAAGAGCUCGUAGGGGCUUGUCGCGUCUGCCGUGAAAGCCCAUGGCUUAACUGUGGGUCUGCGGUGGAUACGGGCUGGCUAGAGGUAGGUAGGGGCAAUCGGAAUUCCUGGUGUAGCGGUGAAAUGCGUAGAUAUCUGGAGGAACACCGGUGGCGAAGGCGGCAUCCUGGACCGGCAUUGACGCUGAGGAGCGAAAGCCAGGGGAGCAAACGGG
rnacentral:rRNA from 1 species